CCUGUGUUAAUCGGUGUUUGAAUCUGUAAGUCUGAAAUAUGUGUGUGAAACUGUGAUACUAAAUCUGUCUGAAUUUGCGAGUGUGUGAAUCUGUGAGUAUGUGUGUAUCUGUGAGUAAUCUGUAAUUUGUGGGAGUGUUAAUCUGUGAACAGGCGUGGCCUUAGGCCUUUAGGCGCCCUGUGCGCAAAAUUUUCACAGCGCCCCUCCUUUGUCACACCCACUCAUCCAUGUAUAGUGGUAUUUAAU